GCUGUUAAGGUGGUUGUUGCCGAAACAUUUUCUUUUUAACACUUGACCCAAAGGUUAACGUAUACAUAGUUUAAUCAAUGCAUUGCUUUAUGAACAGGCUCCAUCUACGGCACUUAGGCCUGCAGUGGCCCGGCUAACAUUCCAGGGUGCAAGCACUGAGGAAAGGUCAGCACUGUCUAAGAGACUAAUCUGAAGCCUUGCAAGAGGAUACAAGAGGAUUUCAUUUCUGGUACAAACUCACCAGAGAGGGAAUCAGGCAAGAAAGCCAAAACCUGUGCUCCUGUUUUUUCUUGACUUUUCUGCUCCACUAACACGUCUGUGAAAAAGCAAUUCAUAAAAUGCAAUACUGGCUACUCACUGGAAAGUCCCCAGUUGCUGGUGAACCACACUUUGUGUAUAUAAUGCCACCUAAUGGACAUUCAGGCUUACAGCCAUGAAAUGUUGUAAUAGAGGGAGAGAUUGCAUAUACUAUAUAGUACUUGCUCAGCAACUCCAAGUAACGUUAUGUACAGAGAAGGAAAAAAGUAUUUGAUCCCCUGCUAAAUUUGCCCAUUUGCCCUCUGAUGAAGAAAUGACCAGUCCAUAAUUUUAAUGGCAGGUUUAUUGUAGCUGUGAGAGACAGAAUAACAACAGGAAAACUCCCAGAAACCCAGAAGACAAAAGUCUGCCUGCCAACAAGAAUUGUGUGGGUUACUAAACUGCAGAAUGCCUACAUACUACCUGAGUUAGUCACAGUGGUGGGUAUUUUUUGAUAUUUUAAUGCUACUGACGCUCUUUAAAAUUAUGUAUUUUUGGAUUAUUUCUAUAUACUUGCUUAAUUUAUAUUUUUGUGUGUAAUGCCUUGUGAAAAGGUUUGUUUUAAGGGGGGGGGGUUAGAAAUUUAAUCAGUUAAAACAAAACCUCUGUAAAGAAGUGAUGGUUCAAAGUUUUGACUUGCCUAGGGUCAGCUGCUGAAUGACAUCGCUCAGCAGGUAUAUGAGUCUGGGUCUCCUACAUCCAAACCAAUCACAGUACAUGCUGCACCACAGCUAAUGUUUCCAGAUUCCCAAAGGAAAGCAAUAGGGGUUGAAGGUAAGAAAAAUCAAAGGAAGGAGAACAUUUUGACUUUUCUGCUUCUGGGUUGAAAAUCAUUAAUGCCAUAAUCUUAAAGCUACUUACCAAGGUGUGAGUCCAAUUUAACUUAGUGAGACAUAUUUCUGAAUAGACAUGUCACCAGGUUGCACUAUUCAUCUGGCAGUACAAAUUAUGACCUACAAAUUAUGGCUGGCAGUGACUAUUUAUUUGGAUAAACUUUUCUUCAUGGGGUCAUUUUCUGGGGACCACAUUAUUCUAAAUCCAAACACAGUGGCUUGAUUAACACUGUGAUUAACAUCAGUCCUAGGUUCCUAAAAACUUCCAUGUCCUUUCUCUUUUUCCUUAAGUCUUUAUUGAAAGUUUUCCUAAGAUAUACAUCCAGUAAAUACUGUAUCAUGUUGGUGCUUGUUUUCUUCCCAUCUCAGUUCCAUCAGCUUGCUACAGUUGUGAAAGAGAAUAGGAAUAGAGCCAGGUAUUUGAAUUACAUGAUUCCGGAAAAAGUAAUCAACAGAAAUGAAAAAGGAUACUCUCCGCUACCAUGUUUAUAGAUUCGUUUCAUAUCUACCGAAGAAAAUUCCAAGGUCAGGUUUCUUUCUGGGCUCUUUAUCAAAGGGACUGUGAGCAUAUCCAUUUGGCACAUAUCAAUAUCAGCAUGUCCCAAAGAGAGUAUUUGUACUUGCUCAUGUGCCAUGCUAACUUAAUAGCAACAGGAGGACAGAAGGGUAGCUUUUACUGAACAGGCUCAGGAUAUAUCUUCAGUAUAUUGAGAAUCUAAAGCUACAUCUCUAUUCCUUAGCUACCCAGGUAGAUACCUCGUUUACUUUUCCAAAAAAGCAUCCUAAAGAUGUCCAUAAUGCAACUCCCCAUGAUCCCACUGGCAUGGUAUAGGUCAGAUAAGAUGUCUUCCUCUGGGGCAUCCGCCUACACCAGCUAUGAAUAACUGUGCAUUCCCCAGCAGUCUCUGUGAGCUUGGUAGACCUAUAGAAGAAGUGUGGGUUUUCACACCUUGCACUUCUCAACUGAAAGAAGCAGAAGUACUGACAUAUCACUGUCUCAGAGCCAUCUCCUAAUUGCAGCAGUAAAGAAUAAAUCUAAGCAAAGAUCACAAAACCUUAAACACCCAUAAAUUGGACUUGCACAAGAACACAACCCGGGAACAUUCUUUUGACUUCAACCCUUCACUGUCCUCACCAAUACACAUUGCCAGGCCAAGUUAGUGAAACUUAAGUUUGCUAUUAGCAAACUCAGUUUGAAUGCAGAGACAGUACUGCACCAUAUUUCUAUAACUCUCAUUUCAGCCUGCACAGUUUUAAAGGGUAUUUCCAUGGCAGUUAUUCAAACAGCCGAGAAUCAAGCAAAUGUAGGAAACAAUGUUAUAAUUGGAAUAGCAGCAUGUGGUAUUGUAAACUAGAGAAUCCGGAACAGUAAAGCUGCUUAAUUGAGUUUCCAUCAGGUCCAGUUGUUCAGAUUAAUCCAGGAAGCAUCUGUCUGGCUGAACGUGUGCUCCGAGUUGCUGAAUAUGGGUAAGAUCUUAAAUCAUUUUAUACACAGCAUCCCGCUGCUUCCUCUCAAUUGUCCUUUUAUAUAACAAGCUGUGCUCUGGCAUCAGCAAAUCCCUUGACAAUCACCAUAUUAGUACACAAGUAUACAAAAGCACAGGGCCGAGAGACCACAUUUGGGCUAAAUAUUGCCUGCUCUGGCUAGGAUACAAAAAUCCUCUGCAAUAUGAACCAAGUAGUUUGCCACACACAAACACACACACACCAUGAACAAAAUGUUUGCCAUUUCCAACCGCGUACUUUCCAUUACAUCCCACCAUUAAAGCAAUUUCAGAGUUCUUAAAAAUAGUCACAAUAUAAUACUUUUCCUGUGGCAAAGCAUUGCACAUCUGGCUCGUGAUUUCCUUUAAAAUAAUACAACGAUUAUGUCUCAGUGUUGACUGCAUAGCCAGGCAUUCUAACAUAAAGUGGACCCAUGGGUAGACAUUGAAUUCAAUGCCCAGUAUUAAUAUGUUGAGUUUUCUAUAUGGGAUGGGAAGCCACCAAGGAAGAGCUGAACUUUAUGCAAUUGACCACAAAAUGGUCAGAGAUAGCACUGACAGUAGCCAGAGCCACACUUCCUUUCAAAGGUAUUCUAGCUGAGUAUUCACAGCACCCUACGGGAAACUACUGAAAAACCUUUAGACCUCUAGCAGCAGCUCAAAAUAACAGUAAGGAAAGCAACAAUAAAGAAUAACUACAGACUUGUUUGCAUAGUGUGCAAACAAGUAAUAGAUUUUGAAAUUCCAAGUAGAUUAAAAAGAUGUGGAAAUCAAAGCAAAAACCCCAAACCCAGGGUCAUUUACCAUAACUGGGAAGUUCUUCUUUUAAUUAAAAUUGCAAUGGCUCAGUGGUUCUUUGCUCACUGAAGUUUGUGAGGUUUGUUUGCUUUUUCACAGUGCAAGACAGUUAUCCCUCUCUCCUUCAAGAAAUACAAAUAAUUCUUUAGCUUGCUAAAAUUAUCCUUCUUGUUGCAGAGAAAUACAGGAAACUCCUGCCAGACAAGAAUACAGCACAGGAAGGUUGAAGACUUGGACUCUCUUCUUUCCCACAUGAACAGAUAGCUCCAACUCUGCCCACUUCGAGUGAAAUGACAAUAGAAGGAAGUGACCAGGGAAAGGUGCUACCUCAGACAUUAACUGCUAUAAUAAGCCAUACCAUACUGACAUGAGACAAGUCUGCACCUGCUGUGAAAAGAAAAAUGGUGGUUCAAGGCAGGACAAUGGCUUUUUUCUGGAGUCUGCAUUUUAAGGUGAUUUAUUCACAUUGCUUCGUAUUUAAGAUUGGACCUCCUCCCUGCUUUGCCGGCCUUUUCCCACCUGGCAUGGGAGGGUGGGGCCCUGACUAACUCCAGGUACAAAAGCUGAAGCUGCUGAACAGGCUGGGGUAUAGUUUUGGGGUUGUUGUUGGGGGGUUGUUGUUGCUGUUGUUGAUUUUUUUGUUAUCUUUAUUUUAUAUCUUAUUAUACUACACAGAACUAGAUCAAUUUGGUUGUGUAUUUUUUGUUUAGUUAUUAUUUAUGACUACUUUUGUUAUGUUGUAUUAUGUAUUUUUUCAGGUUGUAAGCCACCUUGAGCAUGGUUUGAACUAUGGAAAGGCAGCAUACAAAUAAAAAGAUGUAUGUAUG